CCUACGGGAGGCAGCAGUGAGGAAUAUUGGUCAAUGGACGAGAGUCUGAACCAGCCAAGUAGCGUGAAGGAUGACUGCCCUACGGGUUGUAAACUGCUUUUAUAUGGGGAUAACAUGUUCCACGUGUGGAGUUUUGUAGGUACCGUAUGAAUAAGGAUCGGCUAACUCCGUGCCAGCAGCCGCGGUAAUACGGAGGGUCCGAGCGUUAACCGGAUUUAUUGGGGUUAAAGGGAGCGUAGGUGGAUGGUUAAGUCAGUUGUUAAAGUUUGCGGCUCAACCGUAGCAUUGCAGUUGAAACUGGCAGUCUUGAGUUCAGUAGAGGUGGGCGGAAUUCGUGGUGUAGCGGUGAAAUGCUUAGAUAUCACGAAGAACCCCGAUUGCGAAGGCAGCUUACCGGAGUGCAACUGACACUGAGGCUCGAAGGUGCGGGUAUCAAACAGGAUUAGAUACCCUAGUAGUC
rnacentral:rRNA from 1 species